UCCGCUUUACAGCGGCGGUUUUGUCCGAGUUCCCGACAUUACUCGCUGGCAACAGACAAUGAGGGUUGCGCUCGUUGCGGGACUUAACCCAACAUUUCACAACACGAGCUGACGACAGCCAUGCACCACCUGUGUAUCACCCUCGAAGGCGACUCCGUUUCGGGAGCUUGCAGAUACAUGUCAAGCCCUGGUAAGGUUCUUCGCGUUGCAUCGAAUUAAGCCACAUGCUCCACCGCUUGUGCGGGCCCCCGCCAAUUCCUUUGAGUUUCAACCUUGCGGCCGUAGUCCCCAGGCGGUUCACUUAAUGCGUUAGCUGCGGCACGAACGGCGUGGAAUACCGCUCACACCUAGCACCCACCGUUUACGGCGUGGACUAC
rnacentral:misc_RNA from 1 species